rnacentral:rRNA from 1 species
UAACCUGCCUGGUAGCGGGGGGUAACUAUUGGAAACGAUAGCUAAUACCGCAUAAUAGUAGAUGUUGCAUGACACUUACUUAAAAGGUGCAAUUGCAUCACUACCAGAUGGACCUGCGUUGUAUUAGCUAGUUGGUGGGGUAACGGCUCACCAAGGCGACGAUACAUAGCCGACCUGAGAGGGUGAUCGGCCACACUGGGACUGAGACACGGCCCAG